rnacentral:miRNA from 1 species
CGUGUGCGUGCGCGUGUGCGUGUGCGUGUGCGUGUGUGUGUGUGUGUACACACACACACACACACACACACACACACACACACACAGACACACA